CAUUAUUGAAUAAACUCUGGUGGCAGGCUGUUGCUGGUCCAAAAAUGCAGGGCAUGUGCACGCCUCAAUAAAACACCAGUUUUGAUAUAUAUAUUUUCCUGUGCAUUUGUGUAGACACUUUUGGAAUGAGGAACUUUUAUACGUUUCUUGCUGUGAAACAUCAAGGUGUCUAUGAUUUUUAAUGAACACAAAGUGGAUGUAUGAGAAAGAUGCAGCUAUUAAUGAACAAAGUUUAAAUACAACUUUCAACAAUGGAUCUCUUGGCUCUCGCAUCGAUGAAGAACGCAGCGAAAUGCGAUAAGUAAUGUGAAUUGCAGAAUUCAGUGAAUCAUCGAAUCUUUGAACGCAUCUUGCGCUCCUUGGUAUUCUGAGGAGCAUGCCUGUUUGAGUGUCAUUAAAUUAUCAAAAAAUCCCCUCUGCAUGAAGAGGAGUUUUUGGACAUUGGGAGUUGCCGGUUUAUUAGAGCCAGCUCUCCUGGAAUGAAUUAGCAGGGAAAUAUGGCAUUUUUCUCGGUUGGUGUGAUAAAGUGUCUACACCAUGAAAUAAGUGGCAUAUAUAAUCUCUGCUUCGUAAAGGAAUUUGUGUCGUUAAGACAGAAGUUCAACUUAGUUUUGACCUCAAAUCAGGUAGGAC
rnacentral:rRNA from 1 species